rnacentral:rRNA from 1 species
UACGUAGGGUGCGAGCGUUAAUCGGAAUUACUGGGCGUAAAUCGUGCGCAGGCGGUUCGUUGUGUCGGUGGUGAAAGCCCCGGGCUUAACCUGGGAAUGGCCAUGGAAACUGGCGAACUGGAGUGUGGCAGAGGGGGGUGGAAUUCCGCGUGUAGCAGUGAAAUGCGUAGAGAUGCGGAGGAACACCGAUGACGAAGGCAGCCCCCUGGGCUAGCACUGACGCUCAGGCACGAAAGCGUGGGGAGCAAACAGG